GGGAGACGCGGCUCGUGGAGGAGCCUGUUAUUUACUGACCGCAGGGGCCUCCACAAAUGAGCAGUCUUCAGAGGAGAUGGCCUGCAUUCCAGUGGGAUCCAAGAUUAACAAGCUGUGACCCUUCAGCCGACUGGCGAGUGAAUCAGAGGGACCCUGGCAGCAUCCUCUCCCUAAUGCCACCCACAAAUCACCCAGAGUGCUUCUGCAUGCUUGUCCUGUCCAGCACUGGCUUCAUAAAUCUCAGCAAAUUAAGCACGGCCCCAAAUCCCUUGUGAUCAAAUUCGGUUUCAUGCACAUUUUUGCUCUGUUUAUGGGAAACUAUUUUCCUCAGUAUUUGUCUUUCCUGUGAGUGCAAUUAACCUUUUAAUAUUUUAACGUGAUGGUUCUUCUGUGGUGUUUACUAUUUGCUUAAUUUGCAACGUUGCUUGUACAAUGCGGACAUCAUGUAAUGCAAUUAGAUUAAAAACAAGGAUUUAUAAUGCACCAGGUCUAAUUUUUACCAAAUGACUUUAACUAUGUAGAAAGACAAAGACACUUCCUCAAAGCUUUUCCAUGGUGAAAUGUCCUGAAUGAAAAAUAUGCCUGUAUAUCAUUUUAGAAUUCCCUGUUACAUCUCUGUUUAAAAAUAAAGGGUUCUCAAAAAC